CCUACGGGGGGCAGCAGUGAGGAAUAUUGGUCAAUGGCCGGAAGGCUGAACCAGCCACGCCGCGUGAAGGACGAAGGUGCCAAGCAUUGUAAACUUCUUUUGUCAAGGGACAAAAUCCGGCUCGAGAGCCUGACCGAGGGUACUUGAAGAAAAAGCAUCGGCUAACUCCGUCUCAGCAGCCGCGGUAAUACGGAGGAUGAGAGCGUUAUCCGGAUGUAUGGAGUGUAAAGGGUGCGUAGGCGGGCUGUUAAGGCAGCGGUAACAGACCGGGGCUCAACCCCGGCGAGCCUUUGAAACUGGCUGUCUUGAGAUGUCGAGAGGUAUGCGGAAUGCGCAGUGUAGCGGUGAAAUGCUUAGAUAUUGCGCAGAACUCCGAUUGCGAAGGCAGCAUACCGGCGGCGAUCUGACGCUGAGGCACGAAAGCGUGGGUAUCGAACAGGAUUAGAUACCCUGGUAGUC
rnacentral:rRNA from 1 species